GACGAACGCUGGCGGCGUGCUUAACACAUGCAAGUCGCGGGGGGUGAGCAAUCACUCACCGGCGAACGGGUGCGUAACACGUGAGCGACCUGCCCACUUGUGGGGUAUAGCCGGCCCAACGGCCGGGUAAUCCCGCACACGCUUCUCUGGCUGCAUGGCCGGGGGAGGAAAGCCGUAAGGCGCAAGUGGAGGGGCUCGCGGCCUAUCAGCUAGUUGGCGGGGUAACGCCCACCAAGGCGAUGACGGGUAGCUGGUCUGAGAGGAUGGCCAGCCACAUUGGGACUGAGAUACGGCCCAGACUCCUACGGGAGGCAGCAGUGGGGAAUCUUGCGCAAUGGUCGAAAGACUGACGCAGCGACGCCGCGUGCGGGAGGAAGCCCUUCGGGGUGUAAACCGCUGUUACUCGGGACGAACUUCUCGAUUCAUCGAGAUU
rnacentral:rRNA from 1 species